UACAUUUGUAUGGCCUCGAUACCU
rnacentral:siRNA from 1 species